UACGAAGGGGGCUAGCGUUGUUCGGAUUUACUGGGCGUAAAGCGCACGUAGGCGGAUCGUUAAGUCGGGGGUGAAAUCCUGGAGCUCAACUCCAGAACUGCCUUCGAUACUGGCGAUCUUCGAGUCCGGGAAGAGGUGAGUGGAACUCCUAGUGUAGAGGUGGAAAUUCGUAGAUAUUAGAAGAACACCAGUGGCGAAGGCGGCUCACUGGUCCGGUACUGACGCUGAGGUGCGAAAGCGUGGGGAGCAAACAGG
rnacentral:rRNA from 1 species